rnacentral:tRNA from 1 species
CGGGGUGUAGCUCAGCUUGGUAGAGUGCUCGGUUCGGGUCCGAGAGGCCGCAGGUUCAAGUCCUGUCACCCCGA